rnacentral:rRNA from 1 species
GCGGAAGGAUCAUUACCUAGAGUUGUAGGCUUUGCCUGCUAUCUCUUACCCAUGUCUUUUGAGUACCUUCGUUUCCUCGGCGGGUUCGCCCGCCGAUUGGACAAUUUAAACCAUUUGCAGUUGCAAUCAGCGUCUGAAAUAAUUUAAUAAAUUACAACUUUCAACAACGGAUCUCUUGGUUCUGGCAUCGAUGAAGAACGCAGCGAAAUGCGAUAAGUAGUGUGAAUUGCAGAAUUCAGUGAAUCAUCGAAUCUUUGAACGCACAUUGCGCCCCUUGGUAUUCCAUGGGGCAUGCCUGUUCGAGCGUCAUUUGUACCUUCAAGCUCUGCUUGGUGUUGGGUGUUUGUCUCGCCUCUGCGCGUAGACUCGCCUCAAAACAAUUGGCAGCCGGCGUAUUGAUUUCGGAGCGCAGUACAUCUUGCGCUUUGCACUCAUAACGACGACGUCCAAAAGUACAUUUUUACACUCUUGACCUCGGAUCAGGUAGGGAUACCCGCUGAACUUAAGCAUAUCAAUAAGCGGAGGAAAAGAAACCAACAGGGAUUGCCCUAGUAACGGCGAGUGAAGCGGCAACAGCUCAAAUUUGAAAUCUGGCGUCUUUGGCGUCCGAGUUGUAAUUUGCAGAGGGCGCUUUGGCAUUGGCAGCGGUCCAAGUUCCUUGGAACAGGACGUCACAGAGGGUGAGAAUCCCGUACGUGGUCGCUAGCCUUUACCGUGUAAAGCCCCUUCGACGAGUC